GAAAUGCGAUAAAUAAUGUGAAUUGCAGAAUUCAGUGAAUCAUCGAAUCUUUGAACGCACAUUGCGCCCCCUGGCAUUCCGGGGGGCAUGCCUGUUCGAGCGUCAUUACACCACUCAAGCCUGGCUUGGUAUUGAGCGCCGCGGCCUGCCCGCGCGCUCCAAUGUCUCCGGCUGAGCCGUCCGUCUCUAAGCGUUGUGAAUAGCGAUCGCUUGCGAGGCCCGGGCGGUUCGACGCCGUUAAACCCCCCAUUUUCUAUGGUUGACCUCGGAUCAGGUAGGGAUACCCGCUGAACUUAAGC
rnacentral:misc_RNA from 1 species